GAUGAACGCUGGCGGCGUGCCUAAUACAUGCAAGUCGAGCGAACGGACGAGAAGCUUGCUUUUCUGAUGUUAGCGGCGGACGGGUGAGUAACACGUGGAUAACCUACCUAUAAGACUGGGAUAACUUCGGGAAACCGGAGCUAAUAUCGGAUAAUAUUUUGAACCGCAUGGUUCAAAAGUGAAAGACGGUCUUGCUGUCACUUAUAGAUGGAUCCGCGCUGCAUUAGCUAGUUGGUAAGGUAACGGCUUACCAAGGCAACGAUGCAUAGCCGACCUGAGAGGAUGAUCAGCCAGAAGGGAAUGAAGACAAGGUCCAGACUACUGAGGGAGGCAGCAGCGGGGAAUAUUGGAAAAUGGGAGCAAGCCUGAUCAACCAACACGGAGUGGGGGAAGAAGGCUUUAGGUUUGAAAAGCACUGUAGUUGGGAAAGAAAAGGAGUAGGUUAAUAGUCCGCGGUGCUGACGGUACAUAAAGAAUAAGCAACGGCUAACUAAGUC
rnacentral:rRNA from 1 species